rnacentral:misc_RNA from 1 species
GCUACUUUUUUAGCUUUUAGAUUUGUUUCCAUUAUUCAGAUUAUGCCGGGGAAGGUUUUCCGGUUUAUCCCGGAGGGCUUGUAGCUCAGUUGGUUAGAGCGCGCGCUUGAUAAGCGUGAGGUCGGAGGUUCAAGUCCUCCCAGGCCCACCAAUUCAAUUA